GGUGAUCUGGAAGGACAAUCUAUGAAUUGGACAAGUGAAGAAGGAAGAGGAGACAUUAUAAGAAGUGGGACCAACAUAGACUGAGCCUGGCAGUACUAUUGCAGAUAUCAUCCGAACAUGUUUGGGACCGAAGUCCAUGAUGAAGAUGCUUUUGGACCCAAUGGGAGGCAUUGUGAUGACCAACGAUGGCAAUGCCAUUCUUCGAGAGAUUCAAGUCCAGCAUCCAGCAGCCAAGUCCAUGAUCGAAAUUAGCCGGACCCAGGAUGAAGAGGUUGGAGAUGGGACCACAUCAGUAAUUAUUCUUGCAGGGGAAAUGCUGUCUGUAGCUGAGCACUUCCUGGAGCAGCAGAUGCACCCAACAGUGGUGAUCAGUGCUUACCGCAAGGCAUUGGAUGAUAUGAUCAGCACCCUAAAGAAAAUAAGUAUCCCAGUCGACAUCAAUGACAGUGAUAUGAUGCUGAACAUCAUCAACAGCUCCAUUACUACCAAAGCCAUCAGUCGGUGGUCAUCUUUGGCUUGCAACAUUGCACUGGAUGCUGUCAAGAUGGUACAGUUUGAAGAGAAUGGUCGGAAAGAGAUUGACAUAAAAAAAUAUGCAAGAGUGGAAAAG
rnacentral:sRNA from 1 species